AGUCCGGUAGCCUAGUAAUCAGAGCGUCCGCCUUGGAUGCGGGAGGUCGCGGGUUCGAACCCCACCGGGUCAU